UACGGAGGGGGCGAGCGUUAAUCGGAAUCACUGGGCGUAAAGCGCACGUAGGCGACUCCGCGAGUCGGGGGUGAAAUCGUCCCGCCCAACGGGACAAGGGCCUCCGAGACCGCGGGACUCGAGGGGGAUAGGGGUGCGCGGAACUUCCGGUGGAGCGGCGAAAUGCGUAGAUAUCGGAAGGAACGCCGGUGGCGAAAGCGGCGCACUGGAUCCCUACUGACGCUGAGGCGCGAAAGCCAGGGGAGCAAACGGG
rnacentral:rRNA from 1 species